AGACCAUCCAAGAAGACAGUGCAGCCACCUCUGAGAGCCUGGAUGUGAUGGCGUCACAGAAGAGACCCUCCCAGAGGCACGGAUCCAAGUACCUGGCCACAGCAAGUACCAUGGACCAUGCCAGGCAUGGCUUCCUCCCAAGGCACAGAGACACGGGCAUCCUUGACUCCAUUGGGCGCUUCUUUGGCGGUGACAGGGGUGCGCCCAAGCGGGGCUCUGGCAAGGACUCACACCAUGCAGCAAGAACUGCUCACUACGGCUCCCUGCCCCAGAAGUCACACGGCCGGACCCAAGAUGAAAACCCCGUAGUCCACUUCUUCAAGAACAUUGUAAGUGAUGAUCAAUGGGAAGAGGUAGCAACUGUGAGGGGGAGGAGGGGUGCUGGCCACUGCUGUCAUCCACACAGGACGUUCGUACGUUUGGGAGUGGCACCGGGGUCCUCCUCAGGGUGAGGCUGGCCGGGGAACUCACCACUCGCACCUGAUCACAAGUUCCAGACAUCGCUUCCCGACGGUAUCUGCCACGGAUUGCACUGUGCAUGCCGUGCGUUCUCCAGAG
rnacentral:sRNA from 1 species